rnacentral:rRNA from 1 species
AUUGAACGCUGGCGGCAGGCUUAACACAUGCAAGUCGAGCGGGGAAAGGUAGCUUGCUACCUGGCCUAGCGGCGGACGGGUGAGUAAUGCUUAGGAAUCUGCCUAUUAGUGGGGGACAACAUCUCGAAAGGGAUGCUAAUACCGCAUACGUCCUACGGGAGAAAGCAGGGGACCUUCGGGCCUUGCGCUAAUAGAUGAGCCUAAGUCGGAUUAGCUAGUUGGUGGGGUAAAGGCCUACCAAGGCGACGAUCUGUAGCGGGUCUGAGAGGAUGAUCCGCCACACUGGGACUGAGACACGGCCCAGACUCCUACGGGAGGCAGCAGUGGGGAAUAUUGGACAAUGGGGGGAACCCUGAUCCAGCCAUGCCGCGUGUGUGAAGAAGGCCUUUUGGUUGUAAAGCACUUUAAGCGAGGAGGAGGCUACCGAGAUUAAUACUCUUGGAUAGUGGACGUUACUCGCAGAAUAAGCACCGGCUAACUCUGUG